UCAAGGCGAGUGGGCCUUGC
rnacentral:snRNA from 1 species